GGGGAAUAUUGCACAAUGGGGGAAACCCUGAUGCAGCGACGCCGCGUGAGCGAAGAAGGCCUUCGGGUCGUAAAGCUCUGUCCUAAGGGAAGAAGAGGACGGUACCUUAGGAGGAAGCCCCGGCUAACUACGUGCCAGCAGCCGCGGUAAUACGUAGGGGGCGAGCGUUAUCCGGAAUUACUGGGCGUAAAGGGUGCGUAGGCGGCCUUUUAAGUCAGAUGUGAAAGGCUACGGCUUAACCGUAGUUAGCAUUUGAAACUAAGAGGCUUGAGUGCAGGAGAGGAGAGUGGAAUUCCUAGUGUAGCGGUGAAAUGCGUAGAUAUUAGGAGGAACACCAGUGGCGAAGGCGACUCUCUGGACUGCAACUGACGCUGAGGCACGAAAGCGUGGGUAGCGAAC
rnacentral:rRNA from 1 species